CCCCCCCCCCCACUUUGCAUAUGGGACUCCGGGGGCUUGAGGACGGGGACUCUUCUGAGCCUUCGAAUAGGAAUUCGCUGGGUUCGGACAGGUGCGCGCUCUCGACGGCUUCUGGAGCAGCGAUGGCCGUGGUGCAAGCCGCAGGCGGACGUCGACGGGGGCUAAGCUUCGACGGCUGUGGGGCCUUGGACGGCAUUCGUGGCGGCGGCGUGUCCCCCAGGAGGCUGAUUAGGGGCCUCAGGUGUGGGCAGGUCCGGCCUGUCUCGUCCGAGGAGCUGAACUGCGGCCUCUACAUUCUUAGUGGGAGAAAGCGUCAUGAGCCGCUGCUGGUACCCAUUCCGGCCUCGUGUGCUGUCUUUGGGUAUACAAAGGGAUGCCGCACAGCCAGCAGCUCUUCUCAUGGUCCAGAGGGCGGGACCAGAGGGGGUAGUGCAUGCCCUCGGAAGGUCGGCUGGAUGGUUUCUGUGCCAGGCUGCCCUGAGUCUGGCCUCUGUUGGUAUUUUCACCGCCGUCGAGGAAUGAAGUGGACUGCGCCCAGUCUCUCGGACGUCGUCCUCGUAGACACCGCGUGGCAGGUGGCCUACUCCGAGUUAUGGUUAGUGACAUUAUAAUAGUUCAGUGGAAACUACUCUCAAUACUAUCAAGUUCAGCGGAGCGAAUGCUGGAGAGGAGGUCGUCUCGUUUCAAGCGUUUGCUCUGCUCAAGUGGAAGUGGUCCGUCGCAUUCCAGUCACCGACCAUAAUCCCCCUCCGCGGACGGGACUGACCCGUUCAGCGGAAGGUUCGCUACGAUGGGGACAGAUGGACCUUUUCCCGCCAGGCUCGGUAGGGGGUUCUAUCGAUAGAUACCGACUCCAAUACCUUGCCUCGUCCGGUAUGGUCGCCUUUAGGAUUAGAUGCCCUGCGAGGCGGUCCACCAGAAUCCAGGAUGACUGCCUUGGCUGACCAGGGAGGCCGUGGCGUCUACGCUCUGCCACGGUGGGCCCCCUUGCAGUAGGGUUGUCCAUGGGCGGCGCCACGUCGAGCUCCUCCCAGCCGUAGACCCAGAUCCACAUUUCCUGCAGACCGUGAGGCAGCUUCUCCAUGAUGGGAUUCACGUCUCGUGCUGUGUCUAAGUUGCUGAGUUCCGCUCAGUGGGGACCAUCUUUGGCUGCCUCUAGUUUGAGAAGCAGGCCUUCCAGCGCCUGCAACUG